GCAAUAUCAGAUGAUCGAACAGUGCCUCUUUGCGUCAGGGCGCCGCGAGAGCGCAGCCGGGCUGGCACUAGCAG
rnacentral:sRNA from 1 species